rnacentral:rRNA from 1 species
UACAGAGGGGGCAAGCGUUGUUCGGAAUUACUGGGCGUAAAGGGCGCGUAGGCGGCCUUCUAAGUCGAACGUGAAAUCCCCGGGCUCAACCCGGGAACUGCGUCCGAUACUGGAAGGCUUGAAUCCGGGAGAGGGAUGCGGAAUUCCAGGUGUAGCGGUGAAAUGCGUAGAUAUCCGGAGGAACACCAGUGGCGAAGGCGACUUCCUGGCCUGUUCUUGACGCUGAGGCGCGAAAGCUGGGGGAGCAAACGGG